rnacentral:rRNA from 1 species
GGGGUCGCGUCCUAUCAGCUUGACGGCGGGGUAACGGCCCACCGUGGCUUCGACGGGUAGCCGGCCUGAGAGGGCGACCGGCCACAUUGGGACUGAGAUACGGCCCAGACUCCUACGGGAGGCAGCAGUGGGGAAUAUUGCACAAUGGGCGCAAGCCUGAUGCAGCGACGCCGCGUGAGGGAUGGAGGCCUUCGGGUUGUAAACCUCUUUUAUCGGGGAGCAAGCGAGAGUGAGUUUACCCGUUGAAUAAGCACCGGCUAACUACGUGCCAGCAGCCGCGGUAAUACGUAGGGUGCAAGCGUUAUCCGGAAUUAUUGGGCGUAAAGGGCUCGUAGGCGGUUCGUCGCGUCCGGUGUGAAAGUCCAUCGCUUAACGGUGGAUCCGCGCCGGGUACGGGCGGG